rnacentral:tRNA from 1 species
GGGCGUGUGGUCUAGUGGUAAAGACGUUAGCCGCUUAAGCUGAAGACCCGGGUUCGAUUCCCGGCUCGGCCA